UCUUUCUUUCUUCCUUCCUUCCUUCCUUCCUUCCUUCCUUCCUUCCUUCCUUCCUUCCUUCCUUCCUUCGUAUACUCAACAUAUCUCCUGAGUGUGCAGUCCCAUUCAUCUAUUACGUUUAGAAUUAUCCAACGUUUUAGAUUCAUCCAACGUUUAGAUUUAUUAAGAUUACUUCCAGCAACAGUAUUGAAUGCACAGCAGUGGAGCCUGCCUUCCCAGUGCCCAGGGCUUGGAGGGCACCAUGAGGAAGACGCCGAUGGAGAGGCGCAUGCCCUUCUCAACCGGAUUGGACUGAUUGGAAGCGCGCCUGCCUCUUGCAUCCUCUUGUCGCUCUUCCAGCGCAGGGAAGAAGGGAGAAAUGAGCAGGACGCAGCAGGGGAGGCGCACACCCUUCCAGUCAGCCAGGUGGGGAAGUGCACUCACCUGCCGGAUGCCAGGCCUGCUGCCCUUCCAACCCUGAAAGCUGGGUGAUGUUUCCCUCAAUGAGGGAUCCUGUCGUGGGGGCACUUCGUUGCGAUCCCUCCCAAAAUGCGCCUGUGGCCACGAGUCUCCCUCCACGCUAGGCCACUGCGACUGCAUUGUGUUGAUAGUCCUUUCCAUUUGAAUUGUGGUGGAAUGAUUUCUUGGGCUCAGCCUUUGCUCCGGACUUUUUUGGGGAGAUAGGUUUCCAAGCAGCAUGGAAAUAAGCAUAACUCUUCCUUUGCCCUAUUUGCAUUAUGCCAUGGGUAGCCAAAGUUGCACGUUCAGGAUGUUUUGGGCCUGCAACUCUCAUCAACCCUGACCACUAGUACUGCUGGCUUGGGUCUCCUGGGAGUUUUGCCCUUCUUUGUGUCCCUAAGUUGUCUGUGAAAGUCCCAGUCCCAGUCCAGUACCUUUUGGUACCGAAACUUCAAAUGGCAACUUCCCCCUCACUAUAACAGGCACACAAUCCACCGAGAAGGCCCCUUGUGCAAAGCCUACACCAACUGCUGUGGACCUGUACAAGGUGAAAAAGAAGUCAAUAUUAAAAACUAUGGCAAAUAUGCCUGGAAAUAUGCCGUCUGGUGCCCUGAGAGAGGAUCUCAUCUGCACAGUGUUGGUACUCAGCUCUUCGUAAUAUUUUGAAUUACUAUGACUUUAUAUUGAAUUGUAUUAAUCAUUUUGAUGAAUCUGUUGUUGCUUUAUGUUGUUGUGUUUGAUAAUAUAGUGAUUGCAGAGUGUGUGUGUAAUUUUUAUUUUACAUUUUCUGUUUUGCAAUUUCAGAUAAACAUUUUACAUACUUUAA